rnacentral:misc_RNA from 1 species
AACGCACAUUGCGCCCUUUGGUAUUCCGAAGGGCAUGCCUGUUCGAGCGUCAUUAUCAACCCUCAAGCCCGGCUUGUUAUUGGGUCCUUUAUCUGUUAAAAGAUAGGCCUGAAAGAUAAUGGCGGCGUCAUAGGUGACCCCAGGUGCAGCGAGCUUAUAGCAUACACUGUGGUGGUCCUUAUGGCCUGGCCCUUUUGUUAAAUUUUUAACCAAGGUUGACCUCGGAUCAGGUAGGAAUACCCGCUGAACUUAA